rnacentral:rRNA from 1 species
AGAGUUUGAUCCUGGCUCAGGAUGAACGCUGACAGAAUGCUUAACACAUGCAAGUCGAUGGGGAAGGCUGAGCUUGCUUAGCUGGUAACCAUGGCGGACGGGUGAGUAACGCGUAAGGAACUUACCUGCGGGACUGGGAUAACGGAGGGAAACUUCUGACAAGACCGGAUAAAGUUACUGGGCAGCAUUGUUUGGUAAUGAAAGGAGACGCCUGCGGAGAGUCUUGCGUCCUAUUAGCUAGUUGGUUGGGUAACGGCUGACCAAGGCGAAGAUAGGUAGCCGGCCUGAGAGGGUGGACGGCCACAAGGGGACUGAGAUACGGCCCUUACUCCUACGGGAGGCAGCAGUGGGGAAUAUUGGACAAUGGGGGCAACCCUGAUCCAGCAAUUCUGUGUGCACGAAGAAGGUUUUCGGAUUGUAAAGUGCUUUCAGCAGGGAAGAAGAAAGUGACGGUACCUGCAGAAGAAGCGACGGCUAAAUACGUGCCAGCAGCCGCGGUAAUACGUAUGUCGCGAGCGUUAUCCGGAAUUAUUGGGCAUAAAGGGCAUCUAGGCGGCCUAACAAGUCAGGGGUGAAAACCUGCGGCUCAACCGCAGGCCUGCCUUUGAAACUGUGAGGCUGGAGUACCGGAGAGGUGGACGGAACUGCACGAGUAGAGGUGAAAUUCGUAGAUAUGUGCAGGAAUGCCGAUGAUGAAGAUAGUUCACUGGACGGUAACUGACGCUGAAGUGCGAAAGCCGGGGGAGCGAACAGGAUUAGAUACCCUGGUAGUCCCGGCUGUAAACGAUGAUUACUGGGUGUGGGCAGGAAGACUGUCUGUGCCGAAGCAAAUGCGAUAAGUAAUCCGCCUGGGGAGUACGGCCGCAAGGCUGAAACUCAAAGGAAUUGACGGGGACCC